CAGCGUUGGCGCCCGAGAAGUUGGCGGGAAGGCGAGCGGGCGGCGCUGGGGCGCCAGAGGCGAGUCCCGGGAGUCUGUGCUUUCUGGAGUUUGUUUCCUUGGUCUCCUCGGCAGAGUCUGACCGGAGGAACUUCGCAAACGGAAGGAAUUGUGCUUGAGCAUUAUUGGUAAAGAGCCGUGUUUGACUUCUGUUGGACUUUGAAACUCUUUGCCCAUGGUGGUGAACGUAGCCCUCGGAGUUUUCCUAACAAGCCUUACACUGUUAUGUGUGUAUUUUGUAACCUUCAACCCUGGAUCCUGUAUUUGAAGAGCCCGUUACUUCUUCCAUGUUCAUGUAGCUCCAGAACAGCUCCCAAGGUGAAAAACAGCCAGCUCCCCUGACCCAGAAGCUCCUCAGCCACACCUCAGUCUGUGUUAAUAAAGUGAUUUUUGAAAAAACCCUGGAUAAUUACAGGAUUGAGAAUUGGUUGCCAGGUAACCUACCAAGUACUCAAGAGGUUUGAAUUCAAAGCUCCACCCAUCUGUCCUCUGGAGAAGGGAAAGAAUAGCUAAAUUUAAAUUCAUUACUAAUAGAUGAUGAUUUAAUCAAUGAUAUUUACAUAAUAAAUCAAUAAAAACACAAAGAGAUGAGGCUCAGCUGGCUUCCAGAUAAGGGGAUACAUGGUGACUCCUCGGUGGAUAGAGCAC